CAGAAAAAAACAAAAAGCAGUAAACAGAAAAUCAACAAGCAACAUCAGUAUGCAAUAAUCCAUUAUGGUAUGUCACUGCAUCAAUGCAGAAUC